rnacentral:rRNA from 1 species
AUCUACGGCCAUACCACGCUGAACACGCCCGAUCUUGUCUGAUCUCUGAAGCUAAGCAGGGUCGGGCCUGCUUAGUACUUGGAUGGGAGAGAAAGACAGACACCUGCAGACC